rnacentral:rRNA from 1 species
GAUGAACGCUGGCGGCGUGCCUAAUACAUGCAAGUCGAGCGAACAGACGAGGAGCUUGCUCCUCUGACGUUAGCGGCGGACGGGUGAGUAACACGUGGAUAACCUACCUAUAAGACUGGGAUAACUUCGGGAAACCGGAGCUAAUACCGGAUAAUAUAUUGAACCGCAUGGUUCAAUAGUGAAAGACGGUUUUGCUGUCACUUAUAGAUGGAUCCGCGCCGCAUUAGCUAGUUGGUAAGGUAACGGCUUACCAAGGCAACGAUGCGUAGCCGACCUGAGAGGGUGAUCGGCCACACUGGAACUGAGACACGGUCCAGACUCCUACGGGAGGCAGCAGUAGGGAAUCUUCCGCAAUGGGCGAAAGCUUGACGGAGCAACGCCGCGUGAGUGAUGAAGGUCUUCGGAUCGUAAAACUCUGUUAUUAGGGAAGAACAAAUGUGAAAGUAACUAUGCACGUCUUGACGGUACCUACUCAGAAAGCCACGGCUAACUACGUG